rnacentral:misc_RNA from 1 species
UGAAACCUUAACCGAAAUUGCCAACAUUAAUCCUCAUCUUUUACUAACAUCACAAAGAUUAGAGGGCUCUUUAUUGAAGAACAAAACAAAAUUUCAAGGAAGGGGGAGAUAAGGGUUUAGCUUGACUAAGUUGAGCAGGAUUUCUCUCCUUUUCAUUCAGUUUCCUGACUCUUUCCCUUCCUUAAGACUUCAAUUGAUAUGUCUUAUGUGAGUGUUGUUGCCAAAAAAGCUUAA